rnacentral:SRP_RNA from 1 species
CCGCGCUAGACGGGGAGGUAGCGGUGCCCUGAACCCGCAACCCGCUAUAGCGGGGUCGAAUUCCCACCCCCGGCCUUUUCCUGUCGGGCCGGCCGGCGACGGCGGUGUUGACGACCUGGCCCUGCGCAACGGGAACCUGUGAACCCCGUCAGGCCCGGAAGGGAGCAGCGGUAAGCAGGCUCUCCCGUGUGCCGCGGGUACCCCUGGUCCGAGCUUGCCCCGCCGGUACCGCCGGGAGGGACAGGGUCAAAGGUGGGUGCGCG